rnacentral:rRNA from 1 species
UACGUAGGGGGCUAGCGUUGUCCGGAUUUAUUGGGCGUAAAGAGCGUGUAGGCGGCCAGGUAGGUCCGGUGUGAAAACUCGAGGCUUAACCUCGAGAUGUCAUCGGAAACCAUCUGGCUAGAGUCCGGAAGAGGAGAGUGGAAUUCCUGGUGUAGCGGUGAAAUGCGCAGAUAUCAGGAAGAACACCCGUGGCGAAGGCGGCUCUCUGGGACGGUACUGACGCUGAGACGCGAAAGCGUGGGGAGCGAACAGG